rnacentral:rRNA from 1 species
GGGCGUAAAGCGCGCGUAGGCGGCGUGAUAAGCCGGUUGUGAAAGCCCCGGGCUCAACCUGGGAACGGCAUCCGGAACUGUCAGGCUAGAGUGCAGGAGAGGAAGGUAGAAUUCCCGGUGUAGCGGUGAAAUGCGUAGAGAUCGGGAGGAAUACCAGUGGCGAAGGCGGCCUUCUGGACUGACACUGACGCUGAGGUGCGAAAGCGUGGGUAGCAAACAGGAUUAGAUACCCUGGUAGUCCACGCCGUAAACGAUGUCGACUAGCCGUUGGGGUCCUAGAGACCUUUGUGGCGCAGUUAACGCGAUAAGUCGACCGCCUGGGGAGUACGGCCGCAAGGUUAAAACUCAAAUGAAUUGACGGGGGCCCGCACAAGCGGUGGAGCAUGUGGUUUAAUUCGAUGCAACGCGAAGAACCUUACCUACCCUUGACAUCGUGCGAACUUUCCAGAGAUGGAUUGGUGCCUUCGGGAACGCACAGACAGGUGCUGCAUGGCUGUCGUCAGCUCGUGUUGUGAAAUGUUGGGUUAAGUCCCGUAACGAGCGCAACCCUUGUCCCUAUUUGCCAGCGAUUCGGUCGGGAACUCUAGGGAGACUGCCGGUGACAAACCGGAGGAAGGUGGGGACGACGUCAAGUCAUCAUGGCCCUUACGGGUAGGGCUACACACGUGCUACAAUGGCCGGUACAAAGGGUUGCGAAGCCGCGAGGUGGAGCUAAUCCCGAAAAGCCGGUCUCAGUCCGGAUCGGAGUCUGCAACUCGACUCCGUGAAGUCGGAAUCGCUAGUAAU